UACGUAGGGGGCAAGCGUUAUCCGGAAUUAUUGGGCGUAAAGGGUGCGUAGGCUGCCUUAUGGGUCAGAGGUUAAAGGCUACGGCUUAACCGUAGCAUGCCUUUGAAACUAUAGGGCUUGAGUGCAGGAGAGGAGAGUGGAAUUCCUAGUGUAGCGGUGAAAUGCGUAGAUAUUAGGAGGAAUACCAGUGGCGAAGGCGACUCUCUGGACUGCAACUGACGCUAAGGCACGAAAGCGUGGGUAGCGAACAGGAUUAGAUACCCUGGUAGUCCACGCCAUAAACGAUGAGUGCUAGGUGUUGGGGGUCAAACCUCGGUGCCGCAGUUAACGCAUUAAGCACUCCGCCUGGGGAGUACGUUCGCAAGAAUAAAACUCAAAGGAAUUGACGGGGACCCGCACAAGCAGCGGAGCAUGUGGUUUAAUUCGAAGCAACGCGAAGAACCUUACCUGGAUUUGACAUCCCUCUGACCGUUUCUUAACCGAGACCUUUCCUUCGGGAACAGAGGAGACAGGUGGUGCAUGGUU
rnacentral:rRNA from 1 species